rnacentral:misc_RNA from 1 species
UCCGUUUGCUCUCACGAAAGCCGGAGCCUUUCUCGGAUCGCCCACCACCUCUGCUCGUUUAGGUCGGUUGGGGGGACUGAAUCGGCACCGGUUGGACACGCCCUGGACCUUCGCGGUCUGCGCCGUCGCUGCACUACCCGUGCGGUGAUGGCAACGGCCCCGUGGUCUUAAGUACAAGCCGCGCCGUUGUCCGUUCAUCUCGUAACGUCUUCGACGCUGCCCUGCUCUCGGCGGCCUGUCCGUUUUCUCUACCGCCAGGCAGGACCCGGCUCGCUACUUGAUUAAUUUCUGGAGGCGGUCUCGGGCCUGCAGUCCCCACGGCACAUCGUCCCUCACCUCCGCUAGCUCGAGUGGUAGGCGGGAGACGGUGGAGAGAUAGGGUCGGAAGAGACGUUCGCUUGAUGCACGGCGCCCGGAUUAUUAUAUUUUUUUUUCACUCGAAAAAAAAAAUUAAAAUUCCGACCUCAGAUCGGACGAGAUUACCCCCUGAAUU